AGAAAAAUCCUACAAAUGUAAUAAAUGUGGUAAAGCCUUUGAACGUCGUUGUAAUCUUGGAAGGCAUAAACUAAUACAUACUGGAAGAAAAUCCUACAAAUGCAAUCUGUGUGGUAAAGCAUUUGCACGACACAGUCAUCUCAAAAGGCAUGGAAGAACACAUACUGGAGAGAAACCUUACAAAUGUGAUCAAUGUGGUAAAGCCUUUGCAUCUCAUAGUUAUCUCCAAGUACAUAAAAGAGAACAUACUGGAGAGAAGCCCUAUGAAUGUAAUCAAUGUGGAAAAGCCUUUGUACUUCACAGUGCUCUUAAAACACAUGAAAGAAUUCAUACUGGAGAGAAACCCUACAAAUGCAAUCAAUGUGGUAAAGCCUUUGCAAGACCCAGUCAUCUCAAAAGGCAUGGAAUAACACAUACUGGAGAGAAACCUUAUGAAUGUGAACAAUGUGGCAAAGCCUUCAUAAGUUGUAGUUAUCUCCAAGUACAUAAAAGAAUACAUACUGGAGAGAAGCCCUAUGAAUGUGAUCAAUGUGGUAAAGCCUUUAUACGUUGUAGUC
rnacentral:lncRNA from 1 species